CAGUCGCCGCGGGAAUACGUAGGUGGCAAGCGUUGUCCGGAAUUAUUGGGCGUAAAGGGCUCGCAGGCGGUUUCUUAAGUCUGAUGUGAAAGCCCCCGGCUCAACCGGGGAGGGUCAUUGGAAACUGGGAAACUUGAGUGCAGAAGAGGAGAGCGGAAUUCCACGUGUAGCGGUGAAAUGCGUAGAGAUGUGGAGGAACACCAGUGGCGAAGGCGACUCUCUGGUCUGUAACUGACGCUGAGGAGCGAAAGCGUGGGGAGCGAACAGGAUUAGAUACCCGUGUAGUCCCUGUCUCUUAUAC
rnacentral:rRNA from 1 species